rnacentral:rRNA from 1 species
GUGAGGAAUAUUGCGCAAUGGAGGCAACUCUGACGCAGCCAUGCCGCGUGCAGGAAGAAGGCGCUACGCGUUGUAAACUGCUUUUAACCGGGAAGAAACCCCAGGACGUGUCCUGGGUUGACGGUACCGGAGGAAUAAGCACCGGCUAACUUCGUGCCAGCAGCCGCGGUAAUACGAAGGGUGCAAGCGUUAUCCGGAUUCAUUGGGUUUAAAGUGUGCGUAGGCGGAGCGUUAAGUCAGUGGUGAAAUCCUGCAGCUUAACUGUAGACUUGCCAUUGAUACUGGCGCUCUUGAGUGCGCUUGAAGUGGGCGGAAUGUGCCGUGUAGCGGUGAAAUGCUUAGAUAUGGCACAGAACACCAAUUGCGAAGGCAGCUCACUAAGGCGAUACUGACGCUGAGGCACGAAAGCGUGGGGAUCGAACAGGAUUAGAUACCCCAGUAGUCC